UACGGAGGGGGCUAGCGUUGUUCGGAAUUACUGGGCGUAAAGCGCACGUAGGCGGCUUUGUAAGUUAGAGGUGAAAGCCCGGAGCUCAACUCCGGAAUUGCCUUUAAGACUGCAUCGCUUGAAUCCAGGAGAGGUGAGUGGAAUUCCGAGUGUAGAGGUGAAAUUCGUAGAUAUUCGCAAGAACACCAGUGGCGAAGGCGGCUCACUGGCCCGGUACUGACGCUGAGGUGCGAAAGCGUGGGGAGCAAACAGG
rnacentral:rRNA from 1 species